rnacentral:misc_RNA from 1 species
GAUGAAGAACGUAGCGAAAUGCGAUAAGUAGUGUGAAUUGCAGAAUUCAGUGAAUCAUCGAAUCUUUGAACGCAUAUUGCGCUCUUUGGUAUUCCGAAGAGCAUGCUUGUUUGAGUAUCAGUAAACACCUCAAAGUCUUUUUUUUUUCUUGAAGAAAAAGACCUUGGACUUGAGCAAUCCCAACUCUUCUUUCAGAAGAGGCGGGUUGCUUGAAAUGCAGGUGCAGCUGGACAUUCUCCUGAGCUAAAAGCAUAUUCAUUUAGUCCCGUCAAACGGAUUAUUACUUUUGCUGCAGCUAACAUAAAGGGAGUUUGACCAUUUUGGCUGACUGAUGCAGGAAUUUCACAAGAGUCUUCAAAACGCUCUUGUUAAACUCGAUCUCAAAUCAAGUAAGACUACCCGCUGAACUUAAGCAUAUCAAUAAGCGGAGGA